rnacentral:sRNA from 1 species
UCCGCGCUUCGUUAGGUGAGGCUCCUACACGAACACAGGCCACUGAUCCGACGACGUCGAGAGACGCCCAGGAUUAGGACAGGUCUUCCCGGCUUAAGGGAUGACCCGAAGUGGCUUCCCACCUCCAGUGGGACACGUCGUGUAGUGCCAAAGCUCUGAUGAGGAAGUGCUCG